UCUAUACCUAUUCUGAACGAAUCCUCCAUAUAUUUGUGUUGAUUUGAGUUAACUCUAAUGCUGAACAAUUGUGUUUGCAGAUGUUUACAUUGCAGCACCCUGCAUUUCUUUUCCAGGUGCCACGGAGCAGGGUUUCACCUCAACGGCAGUCAUUUCUAAGCUCUCCCAUUCGUUCCCGUUUUCAUUUUCUUCCUAAUCAAAUGGCGAAAACCACAGAUUUCCUAACCUUAUUUGAAGAAGAAGAAAAUAACAACGACGCUGAUGGGGUUGGCGGUAGAGAAGAUGAUGAGAAGAAUUAUGACAAAG
rnacentral:misc_RNA from 1 species